rnacentral:rRNA from 1 species
UACGUAGGUGGCAAGCGUUGUUCGGAAUUAUUGGGCGUAAAGAGCUCGUAGGCGGUUUGUUGCGUCGGCUGUGAAAUCCCGAGGCUCAACCUCGGGUCUGCAGUCGAUACGAGCAAACUAGAGUGUUGCAGGGGAGACUGGAAUUCCUGGUGUAGCGGUGAAAUGCGCAGAUAUCAGGAGGAACACCGGUGGCGAAGGCGGGUCUCUGGGCAACAACUGACGCUGAGGAGCGAAAGCGUGGGGAGCAAACAGG